ACUCAACAAUUACACAUUUGAGAAGGGUGAGUUUAAGCUGUAAAAGCAAGCCGUCUUAGAACGGAUCCUUGAUCAGUUUGUUAACCCUAAACCUGUCAUUAGGGGUUU
rnacentral:sRNA from 1 species